rnacentral:rRNA from 1 species
AACGAACGCUGGCGGCAGGCUUAACACAUGCAAGUCGAGCGCCGUAGCAAUACGGAGCGGCAGACGGGUGAGUAACGCGUGGGAAUCUACCCGUCACUACGGAACAACUCCGGGAAACUGGAGCUAAUACCGUAUACGUCCUUCGGGAGAAAGAUUUAUCGGUGAUGGAUGAGCCCGCGUUGGAUUAGCUAGUUGGUGGGGUAAUGGCCCACCAAGGCGACGAUCCAUAGCUGGUCUGAGAGGAUGAUCAGCCACACUGGGACUGAGACACGGCCCAGACUCCUACGGGAGGCAGCAGUGGGGAAUAUUGGACAAUGGGCGCAAGCCUGAUCCAGCCAUGCCGCGUGAGUGAUGAAGGCCCUAGGGUUGUAAAGCUCUUUCACCGGUGAAGAUAAUGACGGUAACCGGAGAAGAAGCCCCGGCUAACUUCGUGCCAGCCGCCGCGGUAA